AUUGAACGCUGGCGGCAGGCUUAACACAUGCCAGUCGAGCGAGCGGCGGACGGGUGAGUAAUGUCUGGGAAACUGCCUGAUGGAGGGGGAUAACUACUGGAAACGGUAGCUAAUACCGCAUACCAUCAGAUGUGCCCAGAUGGGAUUAGCUAGUAGGUGGGGUAAAGGCUCACCUCGGCGACGCUCCCUAGCUGGUCUGAGAGGAUGACCAGCCACACUGGAACUGAGACACGGUCCAGACUCCUACGGGAGGCAGCAGUGGGGAAUAUUGCACAAUGGGCGCAAGUCUGAGACAGCCAGGCCGCGUGUAUGAAGAAGGCCUCCGGGUUGUAAAGUACUUUCAGCGGGGAGGCGUUACACGCAGAAGAAGCGCCGGCUAACUCCGUGCCAGCAGCCGCGGUAAUAC
rnacentral:rRNA from 1 species